UACGUAGGGAGCAAGCGUUGUCCGGAUUUAUUGGGCGUAAAGGGCUAGUAGGCGGUUACGCAAGUCGGGUGUGAAAACUCUGGGCUCAACCCGGAGACGCCACCCGAUACUGCGUUGACUUGAGUCUGGUAGGGGAGCACGGAAUUCCUGGUGUAGCGGUGAAAUGCACAGAUAUCAGGAGGAACACCGGUGGCGAAGGCGGUGCUCUGGGCCAGUACUGACGCUGAAUAGCGAAAGCGUGGGUAGCGAACAGG
rnacentral:rRNA from 1 species